rfam:Ovis aries breed Texel chromosome 16, whole genome shotgun sequence.
UCCCUGGUGGUCCAGUGGCCAAGUUUCUGAGCUUACAGUGCAGGGGGCCCAGGUUCAAUCCCUGGUCAGGGAA